UACGUAGGGUGCAAGCGUUGUCCGGAAUUAUUGGGCGUAAAGAGCUCGUAGGCGGUUUGUCGCGUCUGCUGUGAAAACCCGAGGCUCAACCUCGGGCCUGCAGUGGGUACGGGCAGACUAGAGUGCGGUAGGGGAGAUUGGAAUUCCUGGUGUAGCGGUGGAAUGCGCAGAUAUCAGGGAGGAACACCAAUGGCGAAGGCAGAUCUCUGGGCCGUAACUGACGCUGAGGAGCGGAAAGCAUGGGGAGCGAACAGG
rnacentral:rRNA from 1 species